CCUACGGGAGGCAGCAGUGAGGAAUAUUGGUCAAUGGACGAGAGUCUGAACCAGCCAAGUAGCGUGAAGGAUGACUGCCCUAUGGGUUGUAAACUUCUUUUAUAAAGGAAUAAAACGAGGCACGUGUGCCUUUUUGCAUGUACUUUAUGAAUAAGGAUCGGCUAACUCCGUGCCAGCAGCCGCGGUAAUACGGAGGAUCCGCGCGUUAUCCGGAUUUAUUGGGUUUAAAGGGAGCGUAGAUGGGUUGUUACGUCAGUUGUGAAAGUUUGCGGCUCAACCGUAAAAUUGCAAUUGAUACUGGCAGUCGUGAGUACAGUUGAGGUAGGCGGAAUUCGUGGGGUAGCGGUGAAAUGCUUAGAUAUCACGAAGAACCCCGAUUGCGAAGGCAGCUUACUAAACUGUGACUGACAUUGAUGCUCGAAAGUGUGGGUAUCAAACAGGAUUAGAUACCCGGGUAGUC
rnacentral:rRNA from 1 species